GGAGAGGUGCAUGAGUGGCUGAAAUGGCACGCCUGGAAAGCGUGUAGAUCUUUACGGGUCUCGAGGGUUCGAAUCCCUCUCUCUCCG
rnacentral:tRNA from 1 species